rnacentral:rRNA from 1 species
AACGCGAAGAACCUUACCCAGGUUUGACAUCCUUGGAAUUUCUGCGAAAGCAGAGAGUGCUUUAUUGAGCCAAGUGACAGGUGAUGCAUGGCCGUCGUCAGCUCGUGUCGUGAGAUGUUUGGUUAAGUCCAUUAACGAGCGCAACCCUUGUGAUUAGUUGGAUUUUUCUAAUCAGACUGCCCUGGUAACAGGGAGGAAGGAGGGGAUGAUGUCAGGUCCGUAUUUCCCUUACAUCUGGGGCUACAAACACGCUACAAUGGCCGGUACAAAGGGCAGCCAAGUCGCAAGACGGAGCAAAUCCCACCAAAGCCGGUCCCAGUUCGGAUAGCAGGCUGAAACUCGCCUGCUUGAAGUCGGAAUCGCUAGUAACGGUAGGUCAGCUAUACUACCGUGAAUACGUUCCCGGGCCUUGUACACACCGAUAGC